AGUGAACGCUGGCGGUAGGCCUAACACAUGCAAGUCGAACGGCAGCACAGUAAGAGCUUGCUCUUACGGGUGGCGAGUGGCGGACGGGUGAGGAAUACAUCGGAAUCUACUUUUUCGUGGGGGAUAACGUAGGGAAACUUACGCUAAUACCGCAUACGACCUACGGGUGAAAGCAGGGGAUCUUCGGACCUUUCGCGAUUGAAUGAGCCGAUGUCGGAUUAGCUAGUUGGCGGGGUAAAGGCCCACCAAGGCGACGAUCCGUAGCUGGUCUGAGAGGAUGAUCAGCCACACUGGAACUGAGAAACGGUCCAGACUCCUACGGGAGGCAGCAGUGGGGAAUAUUGGACAAUGGGCGCAAGCCUGAUCCAGCCAUACCGCGUGGGUGAAGAAGGCCUUCGGGUUGUAAAGCCCUUUUGUUGGGAAAGAAAAGCAGCAGGUUAAUACCCCGCUGUUCUGACGGUACCCAAAGAAUAAGCACCGGCUAACUUCGUG
rnacentral:rRNA from 1 species